UGCUGCUCGUUUGGGUCUUAUCUCACCAAAUACUGACAUUUCAAUUAUUAAUAAAUGUUUGAUUAGACCAGAUCAGUAUAAUUGUGAAGUGAGGUAGAUCAUAAAUUUGCUGUCUUCCUCCAUUUAUAUUAUCAGGUGUAUACAAGACACUCAGUUGAUCGCAAGGACACACAGACGAUUAAAAGUAGACUGCUGCUCCUUCCGCAGCCUGAAGUGAAAUGGAAGGAGAUCACCCGUUGCCUUGCACCAUGACCGGUAGGUUGCUACAGGUGUGGACGGGGUGCGGCGAAGGAGUGCUUGUGGGGACGACAGAAGCCUUCUAGGAAAGGUUCUGGAACACAUCUCCCAUUAUGAAGUGGGCCUGAAGGUGUGAGUGGAAACACAGCUUCUUACUCACACUCCCCACCCUCAUCUUCCAGCAGUGAGGGAAGGAUAUCAAUGUUCCCAUGGCACCAAGGAUUCAAGCAAUGGGUUAAUGGGGAUCCUGGACAUGUAUUUCCUCACCAGUGAAAAUUAAAUGAAGACCCAGGAGUUACUACAGCUAUAGUGAUGAGAAGAAAGCUUCAGCAGCUAGAGUGUGUUGCAAGACAGCACUUCCCUCCUUCUAUCAAGAAGUUCAACUCCACCAACAUAUCACGACUCCCAAAAGCCAUCUGGAUUUGUCCUUAGCAAUAUCGUAAGCCUACUCAUAAGGACGACUUUUAACAGAAACUCUCCUAGAAACAAUUUUAUUCAAAGGGUCUGUAUAUUUUUCUUGGAAAAAAUGUAAAUAUUGUUUCAACAGUGUUUAAAGCAUAGAUGUAAUAGCAUAGCAGUGCUAAGAAUCCAUGUGCUAUUUAAUUCCUAAAUUAGCAAAAUAUUAUGUCUCUACAUCUGACAGUGUAUGUGUCUGUAAUAGUUUUGAGGGCUUUUUCUUAGUAUUUCUUUGUAUAUUUG